rnacentral:rRNA from 1 species
CCUACGGGUGGCUGCAGUGGGGAAUAUUGGACAAUGGGGGGAACCCUGAUCCAGCCAUGCCGCGUGUGUGAAGAAGGCCCUCGGGUUGUAAAGCACUUUCAGUGAGGAAGAACGCCUGGUGGUUAAUACCCAUCAGGAAAGACAUCACUCACAGAAGAAGCACCGGCUAACUCCGUGCCAGCAGCCGCGGUAAUACGGAGGGUGCGAGCGUUAAUCGGAAUUACUGGGCGUAAAGCGCGCGUAGGUGGCUUGAUAAGCCGGUUGUGAAAGCCCCGGGCUCAACCUGGGAACGGCAUCCGGAACUGUCAAGCUAGAGUGCAGGAGAGGAAGGUAGAAUUCCCGGUGUAGCGGUGAAAUGCGUAGAGAUCGGGAGGAAUUCCAGUGGCGAAGGCGGCCUUCUGGACUGACACUGACACUGAGGUGCGAAAGCGUGGGUAGCAAACAGGAUUAGAUACCCGAGUAGUC